rnacentral:rRNA from 1 species
GACGAACGCUGGCGGCGUGCUUAACACAUGCGAGUCUAACGGAAAGGCCCUGCUUGCCGGGUACUCGAGUGGCGAACGGGUGAGUAACACGUGGGUGAUCUGCCCUGCACUUCGGGAUAAGCCUGGGAAACUGGGUCUAAUACCGGAUAGGAGCCAUUUUUAGUGUGAUGGUUGGAAAGUUUUUUCGGUGUAGGAUGAGCUCGCGGCCUAUCAGCUUGUUGGUGGGGUAAUGGCCUACCAAGGCGGCGACGGGUAGCCGGCCUGAGAGGGUGGACGGCCACAUUGGGACUGAGAUGCGGCCCAGACUCCUACGGGAGGCAGCAGUGGGGAAUAUUGCACAAGGGGCGCAAGCCUGAUGCAGCGACGCCGCGUGGGGGAUGACGGCCUUCGGGUUGUAAACGCCUUUCGCUAGGGACGAAGCUUUUUGUGACGGUACCUAGAUAAGAAGCACCGGCUAACUACGUG